rnacentral:rRNA from 1 species
AUUGAACGCUGGCGGCAGGCCUAACACAUGCCAGUCGAGCGAGCGGCGGACGGGUGCGUAAUGUAUGGGGAUCUGCCCGAUAGAGGGGGAUAACUACUGGAAACGGUGGCUAAUACCGCAUACCAUCGGAUGAACCCAUAUGGGAUUAGCUAGUAGGUGGGGUAACGGCUCACCUAGGCGACGAUCACUAGCUGGUCUGAGAGGAUGAUCAGCCCAAAGGGGACUGAGACACGGUCCAGAGUCCUACGGGAGGCAGCAGGGGGGAAUAGUGAGCAAGGGGCGCAAGCCGUAUGCAGCCAUGCCGAGUGUAUGAAGAAGGCCUUAGGGUUGUAAAGGAAGUUCAGCGGGGAGGCGUUACCCGCAGAAGAAGCACCGGCUAACUCCGUGCCAGCAGCCGCGGUAAUAA